AUAUUAACAAAAUUAGAGCUCGUCUUCACCCAGAUGCUAUACCUACUCUAUUUGGAGUGCAUAUUAAUAAACAAGAAAAUGUUGUUCAACUGUAUUCAAUUAAUGAAACAGAAAAAGAAGAUAGAUUCACAGAAAAAAUAAAUAGAAAUGUAUGCAGAGAGACCACUGAUGUUGAAAUAAUUCAAAUGCAAGAAGAGACUAG